AUUGCUUAAGUACUGCAACUCUGAAAGAGUGUGUUAUUACCACGGCACAACGAUCUUGCACAACAAUGUUUUAAUGCUGCCGUACUCUAACAAAAUUAUUUUACAACAUGCGAAGUAAACUUUAUUAUGCUAUUACGUGUACUUCUAUAUAUGCUUAUCUUCAAAUUUUACAACAUCGACCACUACUUUAUUUCUAACACACGUUACAUCGCACCCUGCAGAAUUGGUGACCUAAACAUUCCCUAUCAUGGUUUUCAGAAAAAUAUAGAUUGGUCAUAAGUUCAUCUGCGGGAUCCGGAAAAUGUAAGAAAGAGAAUUGACAGCCUCCACCGUUGAUGGCGAACGCAAAAAAUUAUCGUCCAGUGGAAGAGGGUGGCUCUUUGUGGACGAUAUCGAAGCCAUCUCCGUGGCUGCUCCCGCAGCGAAAGCAAAUGGACUCCCUUAUCCGCCAAGAGACCAUUAUGGCGAACACAAAUCGCAAGAAAGAGCUGGACUUGAAAAAAAACGGGAAAGGUAACUUGAAAGCCGAAUCCUAUCCGGCGCUACUGCGCGAAGAUUUGCCUGCGUAUCCAAUAUAUCGUAGACCGCGAUAUAGACGAUUCGAAGACAUGUCACUGGAAGAAAUGUUCGAGUUUGCUCGGUACUUCCGUCGUUCAAAGCGAUCUCAAGAUGACAUUGCUCGUUCCGGGGCUUAUCAGCUAGAAACGUGCGCUCCGAUUCCACGAGGCAUGGACCGUGAGAAAGAAAAAGACAGACUCGCAAAGAUUAUGACGUAUGGGACAGAAGAAGCUGAGGAGUUGCUGCAACCUUAUAAACCAACAAACAACGAGAGUUAUAAUUCCAGUACUACUAAUACAAGCUCUGCCCAAGUGGAUGAGUUUGAAGAAUUGAUAGAAGAAAUUGAAGAAAGGGAACAGUUCCUGCACCAAAUGCAUCAAAUCGGACUCGAUAAAGAAACACAGCAACGUGUUACGGCGGAGGUCAUUGAGAUCUUAGUGAAAUUAAAGAAUCUGGAUCCUGUCCGAUAUGAAGCGUUAUCCAAUGAUUACCGAUGACCGACUUUUUGGAACCGUGCAUGCAGUACCGAGGUGUUCUGCUACACCGCAAAAUAAUGAAAAUGCCAUUGCUGAAAUGAAGAGUUAUCACACACAAAUAUCCCAACACUGGCGGAAGUGUUCAGUUGGGGAACGAAGGUCAAACAUCCUCGCGACUUGGUAUUAAUAAUCCGAGAACCCUAGAAAUAUUUUCAGACUACUUUGCAAAUCAAGCAAACAAUAUAAGUUUUUCUGUUUAAAAAUUAUCAUGCUGAACUCACGUCAUACGUCCACGUUCGCAAAUCUUCGUCCGAACAAAGGUGCCCUAUGAGGGUAUGUGGUUCUUGAUCACUCUUUUCAUCCAAACACCAAUCGUCCCUCCGUAACUCGUUAUUUUUGCUCAUUGAAAACAACUGCAUAAAAAUUCGAAUAUAAUGUUGAAGG